rnacentral:rRNA from 1 species
CCUACGGGUGGCAGCAGUGGGGAAUAUUGCACAAUGGGGGAAACCCUGAUGCAGCGACGCCGCGUGAGUGAAGAAGUAAUUCUUUAUGUAAAGCUCUAUCUGCAGGGAAGAAAAUGACGGUACCUGAGUAAGAAGCCCCGUCUAACUACGUGCCAGCAGCCGCGGUAAGACGUAGGGGGCAAGCGUUAUCCGGAUUUACUGGGUGUAAAGGGAGCGUAGGCGGCAGUGCAAGUCUGGAGUGAAAGGCUGGGGCUCAACCCCCGGAGUGCUCUGGAAACUGUACGGCUGGAGUGCAGGAGAGGUAAGUGGAAUUCGUGGUGUAGCGGUGAAAUGCGUAGAUAUUAGGAGGAACACCAGUGGCGAAGGCGGCUUACUGGACUGUAACUGACGUUGAGGCUCGAAAGCGUGGGGAGCAAACAGGAUUAGAUACCCUUGUAGUC